CUCAGAGUGGACUACAGAGAAGAACAACCCACAGCUUAAAGCUUUCAGUAUCCUAACGUUUAUUUGCAGCACCAGAUACCUGAGGAUGAUUCCGCUUCUGUUCCUGCUGCUCUCCUGGUUGGUGCCUCACACUCAAGGUCUGGAGAUACUCGACCCCGAAGAAGUAGAGUAUGUUCGUUUCCAUGCCACUGCUUCAGUUGGAGAAACAAUCACAUUAGAUUGUGGAACCAUUGUUCCCACCAUCUUCAUCUGGGGCUACACCAAAGCAGGGACGGAAAACAACGUAGCGAUGGCUUAUAACUACGGACUUGGUUCAAAGGUCCUGCCUGAGUCGUCCAGUCUGGGUCGGAUGCAGGUUGUGGUCAACACAUCAUCUUUGGUGAUCGAGGAGCUUCAGAGGGAGGCGGCUGGGACGUACACCUGCCAGGCUUUGUACGAUACAGAUGAAGGACCUCGGGUCACGUUUUACUUCACCCGACUGGAUGUGGAAGACGACUGACUCAAGUCUAAACUCCCAGAAUGCUGUUCUUUAUUUAAUGCUUAAUGUUACCACUUUCUUCUUUUUUCUUCUUCUUAAAGGUAGUUUUCAUCCAAUUUCCCUAGAUUAGAUUUACUACAGAAUUUAUCCAUAAGGAUAAAUUCAAGUUCAUUAAGAGAGAUAAGAACAUCUAGUACAAAAAUAUACGUUCCUUCAUCUUCAGACCCGCUUAUUCAUAUUCAGGGUUGUAGGCGCUCUACUCAACUCAACUCAACUUUAUUUAUACAGCGCAAAUUACAACAAAGUCAUCUCAGUGUGUUUAACAAAAUAUAGUCCAUAGUAAAAAAAAGAACCCAACAAGAUCCACAAACACAAGUAUUUAGCGACAGUGGGAAGAAAAAAACUUCCUCUAUUUUAUAGGAAGAAAUCUCCAGCGGAACCAGGUUCAGAGGUGGCAGCCAUCUGCUUUGACUGGUUGGGGUUAGUGAACAGAAGACCGAACAGGAUAGGAUAGAAGGAUGGUCCAUCCGAGUGAUACUGGUGGCUAUCUCCAGCCCUCAAAGGGCGCCAGUGCAUUACAGAGCAAACACACAUAGACAGAAAGACAACCACUCACAUUCCCAUUAACUCCUAUGGGAAUAUUAGUGACUCCAAUAUAGGGUGGUGAAAGGAACCCAUAAUGCCCAGAGAAAACUCACGCAAGUAUAGGGAGAAAAUGCAAACUUUGCUUAUUAAUAAUAAUAAUAAUAAUAAUAAUAAUAAUAAUAAUAAUAAUAAUAAUAAUAAUAAUAACAAAAAUAAUAAUGCAUUGGAUUUUAUAUAACGCUUCAUCAUAGACACUCAAAACGCUUUACAGAAUUAAGGCAUUAUUUUUUCACUCCACACCUAGUGGUGGUGAGCUACUAUUGUAGCCACAGCUGCCCCGAAGCAGACUGACGGAGGCGAGGCUGCCAUAGUGCGCCAUCGGCCCCUCCGACCAACACUCACUCACACACUACAUUCAUACUAGGCAAUGUGGGUGAAGUGUCUUGCCGAAGGACACAAUGACAGACGCCCACUGUGGCACCAGGAAUUCUCAGUGGUCUCCCAUCCAACUACUAACCAGGCCUUAGCGAGAUCAGGCAAUGGCAGGCUGGUAUUUCAACACAAAAGAUCCAAGUGUGCUUGAACCCAUGACCUUCUUGCUGUGCAGAAGACCUACUAAUCCCUACACCAAUGUGCCGUCCUCUCCCAAAAAUGGGAUGUCUUGAUAACCUCUCGAAGAGACAUUUCCUUGUAAAUCUUCAAGGACGAAAACAAAUGUGUGAAGUAACAGAGCAUAAGCUCCCAGAUAAUUAACCUGUUCUGUCAUGUAUUCAAUGUGUUGUUCAUUUCCAACAAAGCCUUAGUGAUAAACUGUUGGCUUAUCCAGUAAUUAGAUAAAGUCUUCAGUGCCCCUCAACCUUGAUGAGAAUUCUUCAAAACUAUUUAUGAGUAGGUCAAGGUCUUUGUGGUGAAGACUUCCAUCAUUCCAAUGGUGUCACCAAGUAACCUAUCUUCAAGAAAAUUAUUGGGAGCAUCUAAGGUGUUGUAAGGUUGAAGGACUGUUUAGUUUUAACAUUGACGGCUAUACAAUCCCAGGCUUUAACCUUGAAGGCACAACUGAAGGUUAAUGAACCUUCAUUCACCGCUUUAGUCCGCUGACACUCAUUUUUUCUCUGCUUCAGAUCACUGUGACAAACUCAUUGUAAUUCGUAUCCUUUUUUUCAACACACUGGGAACAGCACACCAGACUGUAACACACACCGAAAGACUUUGAUCAGUGGAUGACUGCACUAUUGUCUCCUGCCAUCUUUGUAGCCAUAUAAACUUACAAAGCGUGACACCCCGUAGACCUGAGGUUGUGGCUUUAAUUUCAAAUACUCACCCCUCAGGCCUGUGUCUUCCUGAUUACUACAACCAUCUGGAUUGUGGAUUUAUUAGACUAAGUUUGUAGUUUGUUUUUCACCGCAGUGUGUGUUUAUUUUCAAGAUCCUAAUGUUUUCCCUGCAUUAGGCCGGAAAUUUGCACCACAGUACCAAACAAUGCCUCGACCUCCUAGAACUCACCGAGGGCUUGCCCAAGCACAGGUAACAUCAGGUAACUUUACAGACGCCUAGAAUUAUACAACUGGUAUGAAGAUUAAAAAAUAGAAUAUUUGUCCUUGUACAAGUAAAGAUGCAAGCAUAAAUAUGUUGGUCACCUAAAGUCCAGAUUGUUUGGCCAGAGUGAGUACAACUAUGUCGUACUUGAACGCAGCACACUUUGUUAGAGAGGUCGACCUGAGCUCGACAAGCUUCGUACCGAACACAAGAACAUACAGAAAGACAUCUUUAAUGCGGAUAUGUUUGGUUUUCUGUUCAGGUUCUGCUCUAGUUGUGACAAAAUUUAGAAAUCUUUGCGACUAACAAAAAGCUCUGUUACAUUUGUAAGCACACCUCAACUUUCCGGGCUUUGGGAUGUUUCACACUAUUCUCUCUAUACAGGUCAUAGUAGCAACGCAUUAUACAAACAUCUUAACCAACAAGGCCUCACUCUAAACCUUUUUUGUCCGGCAAAUGCCAGAAUAUCUUAUGUCUUUUAAGACUAUCCUGUGGUCUGAGUUGUGUUAAGAGUUAACUAAUCGGCUCUGAAACAGGCCGGGCCGACAAAAAGUAAAUAUUAAAGUUGUUCAUUGUUUACGACAUAGAACUCCUCGUAUGUGUGGGGGAAGUCGACGACUUUCGACUCAUGAAUCUGUCAUUUUUGAUGAGGAACGGAAUAAAGUGAGUUGAUUGAGGAACA
ensembl:lncRNA